rnacentral:rRNA from 1 species
UACAGAGGGGCAAGCGUUAUUCGGAAUUAUUGGGCGUAAGGGCGCGUAGGCGGCUUUCAAGUGACGGGUGAAAUCCCUCGGCUUAACCGAGGAACUGCCUGUCAGACUGGAAGGCUUGAGACCGGGAGAGGUGAGUGGAAUUCCCAGUGUAGCGGUGAAAUGCGUAGAUAUUGGGAGGAACACCAGUGGCGAAGGCGGCUCACUGGACCGGAACUGACGCUGAGGCGCGAAAGCGUGGGAGCAAACAGG